rnacentral:rRNA from 1 species
UGGAGAGUUUGAUCCUGGCUCAGAUUGAACGCUGGCGGCAUGCUUUACACAUGCAAGUCGGACGGCAGCACAGAGAAGCUUGCUUCUUGGGUGGCGAGUGGCGAACGGGUGAGUAAUAUAUUGGAACGUACCGAGUAAUGGGGGAUAACUUGCCGAAAGGUAAGCUAAUACCGCAUACGCUCUGAGGAGGAAAGCAGGGGACCUUCGGGCCUUGCGUUAUUCGAGCGGCCAAUAUCUGAUUAGCUAGUUGGUGGGGUAAAGGCCUACCAAGGCGACGAUCAGUAGCGGGUCUGAGAGGAUGAUCCGCCACACUGGGACUGAGACACGGCCCAGACUCCUACGGGAGGCAGCAGUGGGGAAUUUUGGACAAUGGGCGCAAGCCUGAUCCAGCCAUGCCGCGUGUCUGAAGAAGGCCUUCGGGUUGUAAAGGACUUUUGUCAGGGAAGAAAAGGUUGUGGCUAAUAUCCAUGACUGAUGACGGUACCUGAAGAAUAAGCACCGGCUAACUACGUGCCAGCAGCCGCGGUA